CGUCUUCUUCCUUCCUCUUUUUCUUUACUUUUUGUUCCGCUCCUAUUCGUUCGCUUUGAUCGGUUUCAGAAUUGUCUAUCCGACUCUGCUGUCUCUUUGUCUCUCCAGCAUCGUACGCUCUCUCUCUCUCUAACUUCCGCUAAACGUCCACCACACGUGCCUUCCUCGAUCGUAUACGCUAAUCCAUCCUGCAUCUAGCGUUCUACCCUACUAUAUCUCGUUCGCCCUGAUCUUUGCAAGUUCGUGUGAAAAUUAGCCUAAAAAGUUCACUUUUCCUUAUCUUCCUAUCUUUUCCGCCGCGUCCUUUUUGCUGCCACUGAUUUUCUAUAAAACGCCGCAGCCAAUUGUUGCAAUGACGUUAUAAUUUCCUCCAGAAAUCAUCAAUGCUCUGCAGAUAAAUUAUAACUGACAACGUCUUCUAAAUAAACGAAUUGCACAUAAUUUCCACAAUCUAAACCUACGAUGGAAGCAGAUCUAUGAUAGACACGAAAGUACACGACAGCGAGAGUAUAAACUAUAUAGGGUGAUAUACUCGUAAUGAAUAGCAGAAAAAAAUCAAGAUAUUUUUCUUCUAUUGUAUUUAAAUGAAAAAACAUAAUAGUGACAAUGCCUUUGCCCUUAUCGCGAUCGUUAAACUAUGACUUUUCACGAUAAAUCUAUAAGAAUCUUAAAAAAUGAGAUUUCUCGCCAACGUUAACGUUUCGCGCCUCGGGCGGAAUUUUUCAGAUAAAUUACAAGAGUCUUCACGUUUUUAUUUUCAUUAUUUUCAUGUUUGUGGAAAGCUGAAGAAUUUUUGAAUAAAAAUAUUUAACUUAUGAAUGGUACGUAUUUUGAAAUUAAAUACGAUCAUUUAAUUUAGAGAUUAACUCGUUUAGCGUUAAAUCUAUGGUCAUUAUUAACAUUAGAGAAAAAUCUAUUGAUUUUAUACACUUUGCAUUAAAAGUGGAAUGAAAACAAGAAUUUAUGAAUCUAUCGAUCAGAGAACGCAUCGACUCGAAGAACACGAUAUAUCCAUAUCUGCAUGCAAACUUGAACAUACUAGCAUUCCCGUAAUAAACGUAAUACAGGCAGUUUCAGGUGCGCAAACAACACUUUUGAAUGCAGAUGUCACAACCGCGUUCCGAUCACACACAAAAUGGCAUUACGUCCUUGUGAAGAUUAAAAAAUGGGGCGUAUCUCAUUCAUUAACGAUAAAACUAGAUGUGUCGAUGAAUCGCGCAUGUAUGCGACAUCGUCUCUUAUUCGAUAUGCAUUGACAACAAAAUCGAUCUUGCACGAUCCCUGAAAGAUCUCGCAAACUGACAAACUCCAAGAUGGUUCCGUCGAAUUAAUUUCCGCUCGAAUAAAUCUAUAUUUGCCGUGCAAAUGUCUACCUGCAAAUUUACAUUCUUCUGUCAUUUAUUUUCGAAAAGUAUAUAUCUGUAACGAGAAGUAUGGUCUCUCUAACCUUCAUAAUUAACUCGUGAAUCUUAUAUCAUAUUUUGAUCGUGUAAUUUACGUGAAUUUUUAUUGUACAUCUCGAAUAAUGUCGUUCUUGUAAUUGUUACAAUAUUUAUUUUUACUCUCUUUUUCUUAUUAUUAUUUCUUAUUUAAUUUCUAAGGUGCCUUGGUGUUAUAAUUUUUUUUUGUACUAGUAUGUAAUUCUAUUUUUUAUACUACUAUUUGUAAUUUGCAAACUACUACUCCCUAAGUAACUGUACCACAUGAUUAUGUAUCCUACAAUUUCGUUCAUUUCGAAAUAAUUGUACAUAAGAAUAGCUUUUGCGGUAUUUCUGUGUUAUAAGUCCUCCAUAUAUUGAAACAAGUAAUUUAUUGAAAUGCGCAUAUUGAAUGCAUUCAUAAAGGCAAUGCGCCUAAAAGUUUGCGAUUCCGAUAGGUCAUGUAUCAAUUUCUUCUUCAACAUACACAUAGAAUAUCAAGAACUAAAUAACAGUUUUAUUUACACAAAUACACGAAAACAUAUUGCAUCAACAAAUUUAUGUCAACAUUUUGAUGUUGCUAUUAUCCUAUUCAAAAUCUAUUUCCAUUUCGAAACACAUGAACUGUUAAUUAAAACAUACAACUUGUAGCUUCACGCAAUUAUUUCGCGCAAUGAUAAUCAAACGUCAACGUAUUUACAACUUUGCACGUUCUCCCAUUUUAAAAGCUUUCAUAUUCAAAGUUAUAUAUACCAUUUCAAUAAUAAUUUAUUGAUUGUAAUAUAGCAAUUCUUUUUGUAUAUUUUUAUUCGGUUAAUAACAAAAAGAUUAAUAACAGGAAAUGUAAUUUUAUUCAAUAAAUACAAGUUAAUUUUGGAUAUGACUGAUGUUUGAAAUUAUAAAAAAAAAAUAGCUCGAGUUAAUGGAAAAAUUAUACUCUGCGAAUGUGGACACACAAAGCGUAAUUUGAAUUUUUUAAUUUAAUUUAAUUAACACGGAAACACGCGAUACUCGUGCCGAGUUUAAUUUUGAUAUGUCAAGAGAGCCAUUGUCAAAGAGGUGUGGAAAUGCGCCGGGAUACCGCUGGAAAACCGCAGCGAUUGAAUGGCGCAAUGUUGGAGUUACGAGAAGCGCGAGAAGUGCAAACGAGAGAACACUUUUGUUCGCUUCUCCUUUCCUUCCUAGUCGCGCACACGCCAAGCUCGAGCUCCGCAUCGAAUGAAUAACUGAAACAAUGCGGAGCGAAAGCGAGCGCGCAGUACCAUGGCGUUCUCGUAACAUCGAUCGUAAGAUUACAAUUGGGUUAAAGUCGGUGUCGCGCACGUUCGUCUGGACGCGUGGACUAAGAGCCGACUUGGCCAACGAUGCUGUUCACAAUCCUGGAAUAACAUUGUUUAAGAUCGUGCCCCGGUAGCGAUCAGCUUGAACAAACGAAGUUCCCGAUCUCUUGUGUUUGAGGACGAACUGGCUGCGCAAUGACAGAGUCAUCGAGGCUUGGAGCGAAGUGGCUAAUGAGGGAUGACAGAAACAAUACUAGUAGGGUGAGGAUAGCAGGGAAACAAGGAAAAAUACAGUGGGGCGAAGGAUAGCGGGAGCCACAGCUACGCGAGGUCGCGAGAGAGGAAUGGCACAAGACGAAGGGUGGCAGGCACCAAAGGGAGUGGUAGAAUAAGAGAGAGAACGGGGAGAAGAGAUGGGUGGCGGUCGGAGGUUGCCGAGGCUGAAAUGAAAUAUUGAUCUGUGGAGGCGCGCGCAACCCCUGCAGCCGACCCGCCCUUGUCCACCAUUUUCCACCGAUAUCUCGCUGUUGUGAACAUUGCCAAAUUUUUAUCAAUUUUACCGAAAUGCCGAACUUUCUCGCGACUCGUCCAUUUAUCCGCUUCUUUUUUAUCUUUUCUUUCCUUUCUUGAUCAACUCUUUCGCUUCUGUUAUUGUUAACGGAUAAUCAAAAACAGCAGAAAAAUUGAGAGCGAAAACAGGAACGUUCAUCCAAAACAUCCAAAAUACUUGAGAACAAAUACUUGCGAAAAACUACAGUUUGAAUCACAAAACGUUUUAAAUCAGGAAGAUUGUGUAUGAUAUUUUUUAUACAAGAUAUUGAAUGUAAUAUUUGUGAAUUUCUCUAAAUAUUUAUAGUGUAAUCUUAUUUUAAUACGUUCGUUAUCAAUGUCACAUAAAUGUGCUGCACCGAUUUUUCUUGUGAGACCAGGGUCACACACGUGCGACAAUCUUUUUUUUUUAUAUUACUUGCAUAAAAACAAUGAAGAGCAUUAUUUCAGCGUCAAAAAUAGAAAAAAUGUGAGAUAAUCUGUGGUCAGCGAUUUUCCAAUUACACCGUGAUAGCAAACGUGUUAGCCAGAAUUAUUGUAUGUACACAUAAUAAACAGCUGUCAAUUUAUUAAUCAGGAUGCAUAAUUAGAAUUCGAGAUGCAAUAUCGGUUAAUUAUAAUUUCGUUUAAAUUAUAUUCUAUAUUUUUCUCAGAUCAGUAAAUAAAUAUUCCGAGUUAUUUAUGAUCUUAUCUUUUAUCUAAAUCAAUUUAUACAAAAUAAAUUUUUAAUUGCAUUAUCGAUAAAAUUUUUUUACAAAAAUAUAACAAAAUGUAAUACAUCUUACAAUACACGUAUGCGUAAAGAUUAUCAAGAGUUUCCUUCACAAUUUCUUUUUCUUCUAUUUGUAGAACAAUCAAAAACAUUGAAAUAUGCACGCGAGAGAGAUCAAUACAUAGAUAGAUAGAAGAAGGAAGGAUAGGAGAGAAGAGGAGAGAGAGAGAGAGAGAGAGAGAGGCAAAAAGAGACAAACUCUGUAUCGAAUGAAACAAAAUUAAAAAUCAGCAAUAAAAAAUAAAAAAAGAAAUAACACUAGAUUGUCCGAAUUAAAUUUGAUCUCUCUAUUACGUGAAAUACAAUUCUAAUUGAAUAAGAGAAACUACUCAAUAUUCUAAGUUCGAUAUUAGCACAAUUCAAUCAUCACCAUUUUUAUUUCCUUAACAGGAAAACCGCGAUAAAUAGUUUGUAAAAUUUGUUCCCAAAACAAUGUCAAAUAUAUAAUAAUGUUACAAUAGAUGUUAAUGCUGACA
rnacentral:lncRNA from 1 species